UCAUAUAUACUAGCAGUAAUGUAUCGGAUCGCAUGAGAAUUCUGAAGUUAAGCUUGUUUGGGUGAUAGUAACAAAAUGGAUGACCUCUAGGAAGUUUCUCUUAUAUAUAAU
rnacentral:rRNA from 1 species